AUUACUAUAUUAUUAUUAUGGAUGGCACUACUGGCACGUAUUGAGGUUAUGUUCAGUUCGUAGCAUUACUUGGAAGAACACACACCAACUUCCAUCCAGAUCGGUAUAUUUCUUUCUGUUUGGAAUUCGUCUGAAUCGAGGAAGUGGGAGGAUUUUCAAAAAAUGGACGAAAAAGAAUCUUGAUAAACAUUAUGGGGACUCUGAGCCUUUGAUUAGAGCAGUUUACAAGUGGUUUCAAAAUUUUCGGAGUGCCCAUAUGGGCACAAGUGACGCUGAACGUUUUGGACACCCUGUUGAGGUUAAUACUCCAGAAAUCAUUUAUACAUGAUAUGGUGAUGAAUGACAGAAGAAUGAAGAUGCAUGAGAUUGCUAGUGUAGUGGGCAUCUCGAGUUGGAACACUUUUAACAUUAAUUUUGAGCCCACAACUUCUGAGGUAUUAUUCCUACCCUAUCCAAAAGACAGUCGCCAUAAUCUUUCCAGUUGAUUCAAACGAAAUCCAAACAGAAAGAAAUAUAUCGAUCUGGCUGAAAAUUGGUGUGUGUUCCACUAAGAGAUGCUACAAACUAAACAUAACCUCGAUACGCGCCAGUAAUGCCAUCUCCCGGACUUAGCACGGACUUUUCAAACGACCCUCGUAUAACAUUUUAAUGUUAAAAAAAUUUAUAAAUACAUAAUAAACAGCGACAGCAUCUUAAACUAACAACAUACUUUAUCAGCUAUAUAGUGGAAUGUUCAUUUGGCCAUUUUUAGAAAAGUGGAUUAAGAUUUGGCCUAAUUUUCAAAGUUCUCAUCAGAGUACCUAUAAAGAGGCUUCCUUUUCUACAAGACUCGACAAGUAGUUACCUUUAUUGCAUAACACAAACUAUCAUACGAAAAGAAACAGAAAGAAAGGCCCAAAAUUAUUGAUUGAUAGCCAAUACUUCACAACAUUGGAAUUUUUAUUCAAAAUUUUUUGAUAAGUUUUCACUGCUUAAUAAUAGCUAAUUCUAAUUCGACCAAACAACCCUCAGAAGGGAAUAAGAAGCAGAAACAUAAACGGCUGACAACAAAAUACAAUGUAUAUUUUUGUGUUGGUGAAGUAUCGCAGUGCCGACUAUACAAUAUUCAUGCAUAUGUCACGUCGUUAUCUUGGUUGUAUAUCGAAAACUUUACUACGAAAAUAAAACCGUCAUAAAUAUAUUGGUAGUUAAUUAUUUAAUUCUUCCCAACUAUGGAAUUAAAAUGAUUCAAUUAUCAAUUGCUGGUCACCUAAACAACAGUAAAUUGUAGUUCAACCAAUCAACAUUCAGAGUACCACUGAAAAGAAGCGAACAAAUAAACAGCUGACAAACAAAUACAUUGUAAAUUUUUACGUAUGAUUUUGAAGUAAUGUUUAUGCAAAUACUCGUAACUUUAUUAAGUUUGCAAGAUGAAUCAUCGACACCCAUAAAUAACAUUUGCUCAUAAGUUACUUAUAAGUGAAAUAAAUAUUUGUUUGUACUUGAAAA
rnacentral:lncRNA from 1 species